rnacentral:rRNA from 1 species
AGCGAACGCUGGCGGCAGGCCUAACACAUGCAAGUCGAACGAACCUUUCGGGGUUAGUGGCGGACGGGUGAGUAACACGUGGGAACGUGCCUUUAGGUUCGGAAUAACUCAGGGAAACUUGUGCUAAUACCGAAUGUGCCCUUCGGGGGAAAGAUUUAUCGCCUUUAGAGCGGCCCGCGUCUGAUUAGCUAGUUGGUUGAGGUAAUGGCUCACCAAGGCGACGAUCAGUAGCUGGUCGGAGAGGAUGAUCAGCCACAUUGGGACUGAGACACGGCCCAAACUCCUACGGGAGGCAGCAGAGGGGAAUCUUGCGCAAUGGGCGAAAGCCUGACGCAGCCAUGCCGCGUGAAUGAUGAAGGUCUUAGGAUUGUAAAAUUCUUUCACCGGGGACGAUAAUGACGGUACCCGGAGAAGAAGCCCCGGCUAACUUCGUG